rnacentral:ncRNA from 1 species
CAAAAACACAGGUCUCUGCUAAAGCGAAAGCUGAAGUAUAGGGGCUGACGCCUGCCCGGUGCUGGAAGGUUAAGGGGAAUACUUAGCGCAAGCGAAGGUAUGAACUUAAGCCCCAGUAAACGGCGGCCGUAACUAUAACGGUCCUAAGGUAGCGAAAUUCCUUGUCGGGUAAGUUCCGACCCGCACGAAUGGCGUAAUGAUUUGGGCACUGUCUCGACAACAAAUCCGGCGAAAUUGUAUUGCGAGUGAAGAUGCUCGCUACCCGCGAUUGGACGGAAAGACCCCGUAGAGCUUUACUGUAGCUUAGCAUUGAAUUUCGGUAUUGUCUGUACAGGAUAGGUGGGAGACUGAGAAACAAGGGCGUCAGCCUUUGUGGAGUCAACCUUGGGAUACCACCCUGACAGUACUGGGAUUCUAACCGGCGGCCAUGAAACUGGUCACGGGACAUUGUUAGGUGGGCAGUUUGACUGGGGCGGUCGCCUCCAAAAAAGUAACGGAGGCGCCCAAAGGUUCCCUCAGAACGGUUGGAAAUCGUUCGAAGAGUGCAAAGGCAGAAGGGAGCCUGACUGCGACACAAACAAGUGGAGCAGGGACGAAAGUCGGGGCUUAGUGAUCCGGUGGUUCCUCGUGGGAGGGCCAUCGCUCAACGGAUAAAAGCUACCUCGGGGAUAACAGGCUGAUCUCCCCCAAGAGUCCACAUCGACGGGGAGGUUUGGCACCUCGAUGUCGGCUCGUCGCAUCCUGGGGCUGAAGUAGGUCCCAAGGGUUGGGCUGUUCGCCCAUUAAAGCGGCACGCGAGCUGGGUUCAGAACGUCGUGAGACAGUUCGGUCCCUAUCCGUCGCGGGCGUAGGAAAUUUGAGAGGAGCUGUCCUUAGUACGAGAGGACCGGGAUGGACUGACCUCUGGUGCACCAGUUGUUCCGCCAGGAGCACAGCUGGGUAGCUAUGUCAGGACGGGAUAAACGCUGAAAGCAUCUAAGCGUGAAGCCCACCUCAAGAUAAGAUUUCCCAUAGCAUAAGCUAGUAAGACCCCUUGAAGAACACAAGGUUGAUAGGUUAGAGGUGUAAGCAUGGUAACAUGUUCAGCUGACUAAUACUAAUAGGUCGAGGGCUUGACCUA